rnacentral:rRNA from 1 species
GACGAACGCUGGCGGCGCGCUUAACACAUGCAAGUCGAACGGAAAGGCCUGCUUUCCCUUGUGGAUUGCGGGUACUCGAGUGGCGAACGGGUGAGUAACACGUGAGUGAUCUGCCCCCAACUUGGGUAUAAGCCUGGGAAACUGGGUCUAAUUCCCGAUAGGACUGCAGGGUGGUGCCUGUGGUGGAAAACGAUUUUCUAGUGGUUGGGGAUGAGCUCGCGGCCUAUCGGCUUGUUGGUGGGGUAAUGGCCUACCAAGGCGGCGACGGGUAGCCGGCCUGGGAGGGUGGACGGCCACAUUGGGACUGAGAUAUGGCCCAGACUCCUACGGGAGGCAGCAGUGGGGAAUAUUGCACAAUGGGCGGAAGCCUGAUGCAGCGAGGCCGCGUGGGGGAUGACGGCCUUCGGGUUGUAAACUCCUUGCGACCGCGAGGAAGCCACCUGGUUGGAAGGGUGGUGACGGUAGUGGUAGAAGAAGCACCGGCUAACUACGUG